UAUUUUCAGAAUGCUCCGAACAGUUUCAGUUGCAAGAGUCAGAGCACUGACUGAUACCAACAGAGGCUGGACAACCAGUUCCUCCAAAAUGUUGGAAAUACCACCCUGCAAAUCAAAUCAGCACAAGUUGCUUUUAGUGUCUGUGAUAAUACACAUCAGCAGCCACGUGGUUACCAGUGUACCUCAAGACCUAAAUCUAGUUUUCUUUCUGUCUAAGAAGAUUAGAAUAUGAUACUCUACUAAGCUUUUCUCUACACUGUGGGAUGUUAUUUCAAUUAAAAUUUGGAAAAACUGAAUUAAUGCUGUAGUCACCCAAUCCUAACUACAGGCGCCCACCACCAUGCCCGGCUAAUUUUUUGUAUUUUUACCAGGCGUGGUGGCAUGCACCUGUAGUCCCAGCUACUCAGGAGGCUGAGGCAGAAGAAUCGCUUGAACCCAGGAGGCGGAGUGCAGUGAGCCAAGAUUGUGCCACUGCACUCCAGCCUGGGUAACAGAGUGAGACUCUGUCUCAAAAAAACAAAACAAAACAAAAUAUUAUCUCUUUAAUGUUUAAAUCAUCUCUGAAUUUUAAUUCUUAAUUAGAUCAACCCCAGUCUACUCUACAGUCUCAUAUUUGCCACCUUAAAUUCUUCAUUGCACCAUCCUACUUCCCUUUAUCCCGGGAUUACUCCUGAUGGCCUCUUACAGGCAUCCUUGCUUCCAGUCUUCCCUUCUUAAAAUAUUCCUGUCCUUAGCCUCUUGCUUAAAAAAAUCUCAUCCUACUUCCCUUUAUCCCGGGAUUACUCCUGAUGGCCUCUAACAGGCAUCCUUACUUCCAGUCUUCCCUUCUUAAAAUGUUCAUGUCCUUAGCCUCUUGCUUAAAAAAAUCUUUAGGCCCCGCACCGUGGCUCACGCCUAUAAUCCUAGCACUUUGGAAGGCUGAGGCAGGUGAAUUGCCUGAGCUCAGGAGUGCAAAACCAGCCUCAGCAACACAGUGAAACACCAUAUCUACUAAAAAAUACAAAAAAAUUAGCCCGGCCUGGUGGUGGGCGCCUGUAGUCCCAGCUACUCAGGAGGCUGAGGCAGAAUUGCUUGAACUUGGGAGGAGGAGGUUGCAGUGAGCUGACAGUGCUACUGCACUGCAGCCUGGGCAACAGAGCAAGAUUCCGUCUCCAAAGAAAAAACAAACAAACAAACAAACAAAAAACACUUCAGUGGAUCCCAACUACGGGAAGGAAAAAAAAAAUGGCUGGCUCAAU
rnacentral:lncRNA from 1 species